rnacentral:lncRNA from 1 species
CAAACAACAAAACACCCAAAACUGAAAUCACAACAAAAACUGUGUUAUCGUAAAAUGUAUUUUUCUGGUUAUGGGUCGGAGUUGAAUCAACAGUAUUAUAAAGGUGUUUCGUCGGUGGAGUGGCUAGUAAGGGUUUUGAUGAAGCAAAGGAGGAAGAGGAAGAAAUGGAGAAAAAGAGAAAUAUAGAAAAGAAAUAGGAACAAGUGAACAAAGAACCCCACCACCUACAGACAAAUGGACUAUUUCUAUGGGUAGAGUAGUUUGAUUUUGAAAAAUUCUUAGUAUUUGACAAUUUUUUACUCUUUACAGUGCUGGAAGGUGAGGCUUCCAUGGAAGCAACAGUAUCCAACAAGGGAUUUUUUUUUAUUCUAAAAACA